rnacentral:rRNA from 1 species
GGUUGUCAUGCCAAUGGCACUGCCCGGUAGCUAAAUGCGGAAGAGAUAAGUGCUGAAAGCAUCUAAGCACGAAACUUGCCCCGAGAUGAGUUCUCCCUGACCCUUUAAGGGUCCUGAAGGAACGUUGAAGACGACGACGUUGAUAGGCCGGGUGUGUAAGCGCAGCGAUGCGUUGAGCUAACCGGUACUAAUGAACCGUGAGGCUUAACCUU